CCUGCCCAAUGGUUGUAUCUAAAAGCGGUUGAUAAAAGUCGACCGUGUAAGGACAAUUGAAUGGCCGCGGUAACACUGACCGUGAUAAUGUAGCGUAAUCAAUAGCCAAUUAAUUGUUGGCCAGUAUGAAUGGCGCCACGAAGGCCCCACUGUCUUAAGGAAAUUCCCAGUGAAAUUGAAUUCGUAGUGAAGAUGCUACGUCCAAUUUGUUAGACGAAAAGACCCCGUUGAGCUUUACUGGGGCACUUACACGGCCCCGGCCUUCAAGACUGGGUUGAUAAGCCAAGGCUUACCAUACCUAGGGACCGGCCGAAUUUAAAUGGGCGGCUUAGACUAUGUGGCAGCCCCCCCCGUCGGGGCAGAUGAAACCCCACUCCCCCAUGUCAAAGGGGCUAACCCCCCCCCCCUUGGGGGGGGACAAUGUAAGUAGGACAGUUUGGUUGGGGCGACCGCCUUUUAGAGAGUAACGAAGGUGCGCUUAAGGUGCGUAAUUAAUGACUGAAGCCUGACUGCGAGGGGGAUACCCCGAGCAGACACCCCCAAGCCCGCCCGAGAAGGCUUUGCCUUCUGGGCGGCGGUGGGGUGG
rnacentral:rRNA from 1 species